UUGCCAGCCCGCUCAGAAACUUAAAGGAAUUGACGGGGGCCCGCACAAGCGGAGGAGCAUGUGGUUUAAUUCGAUGAUACGCGAGGAACCUUACCUGGGCUCGAACGUAAGAUGACUGUAGGUGAAAGCUUACAUCUCUUCGGAGCAUUUUACGAGGUGCUGCAUGGUUGUCGUCAGCUCGUGCCGUGAGGUGUCGGGUUAAGUCCCAUAACGAGCGCAACCCCUACCUUUAGUUGCCAUCAGGUAAUGCUGGGGACUCUAAAGGAACUGCCUACGCAAGUAGUGAGGAAGGCGGGGAUGACGUCAAAUCAGCACGGCCCUUACGUCCAGGGCUACACACGUGCUACAAUGGCCGAUACAGAGGGCAGCUACCUGGUGACAGGAUGCAAAUCUCCAAAAUCGGUCUCAGUUCGGAUCGGAGUCUGCAACCCGACUCCGUGAAGUUGGAUUCGCUAGUAAUCGUGCAUCAGCCAUGGCGCGGUGAAUACGUUCCCGGGCCUU
rnacentral:rRNA from 1 species